rnacentral:misc_RNA from 1 species
CGCCGCGGUAAUUCCAGCUCCAAUAGCGUAUAUUAAAGUUGCUGCAGUUAAAAAGCUCGUAGUUGAAUUUCGGGACCAUCAUGUCGGUCGUGCCUCGGUACGUACUGGCAUUGUUGGUUUCUCCCUUCUGACGAACCAUGAUGUCAUUUAUUUGGUGUUGUGGGGAAUCAGGACUGUUACUUUGAAAAAAUUAGAGUGUUUAAAGCAGGCUCACGCUUGAAUACAUUAGCAUGGAAUAAUGAAAUAGGACGUUUGAUUCUAUUUUGUUGGUUUCUAGGAUCGACGUAAUGAUUAAUAGGGAUAGUUGGGGGCAUUAGUAUUCAAUUGUCAGAGGUGAAAUUCUUGGAUUUAUUGAAGACUAACUACUGCGAAAGCAUUUGCCAAGGAUGUUUUCAUUAAUCAAGAACGAAAGUUAGGGGAUCGAAGACGAUCAGAUACCGUCGUAGUCUUAACCAUAAACUAUGCCGACUAGGGAUCGGAUGAUGUUAAUUUUUUAAUGACUCAUUCGGCGCCUUACG